rnacentral:lncRNA from 1 species
GCAGGGCAUGAGGGUUUUAAGCAGUUUGUGCUUUUCUUUUGACAGAGCCGAGAAGCUUCAGCUGCUGAAUCACAGGCCAAUGACCGCUGUUGAGAUCCAGCUGAUGGUGGAAGAGAGUGAAGAGCGGCUCACGGAGGAGCAGAUUGAAGCUCUCCUGCACACUGUCACCAGCAUCCUGCCUGCAGGUCCAGAGGAUGAGCAGAGCAAAAGCACUAGCAAUGACGCGGCAAUGGAAGAGGAGGAGCCUGCAUAGACAUCUGUGGCCAUUAUGACACAGCUGGCCAGGUUGUUCGUGAUGCUCAAAGCCACAACAGCCAUUUCCUGGACGUUCAGAGAACUGUUUAUUCGGCCUGACCCCUCUCUCAAAUAUUCCUGAUCUCAGGAUUGGUUGAGAAAAAAAAUCACAAAAAUAAGAUGAAAAGAAAUCUUUGUGCCUUGGGUUCAAGAAACAUGGGGUCAGAGAAGGGCAGAGGGCUCGAGAUGGGGCAGCAUGGCUAUGCAGCCCUCUGGGUAGAAAGGCUUGUGUGGCCUCUGUCGCACUUGUACACAGUGGGGAGCUAUUCAGGCACUUUGAUGACUGUGUUGUAGGCAAUGUCAGGCACCGCCAUAGAAUGGAGCUGGGGAACGACCUCAGACGGUCUCGAGCUCCCAGAGCUGCACACAGCUGCUCCAGGGGAAAUGACCCAGGGCUUAGCUCACGGUAGAGGAAUGUCCUCGGCAGAGCAGGAGGCAAGGAAAGGAGAUAAGAGGAAACUGCAGUCUGAGCCCAGCCUGGUGUACAUAAUAAGGAACACACAUGUGAAUAUACCUAACACACAUGCGUGCCACACACACACAUACAAAGAAAUUAGUCCCUUUUCUGUGGCAAACCCACAACUCUCUGGCCUGGGUGAGAGACAAGGAAAAGGCUUAUUUUGACUCCUGGUUCUGGUCCAAGGUCAAAGGGCAUCUGGGUAUGGCCCUCUUGUUGCCAGAGUGCUCAGGUAGCAUUGGCUAACACAUUACAAAACAUGAGAAGCGUUUGUUUGUCUUCAGAGUCUCUUGUAGCCCACAUUGACCAAAGUUCAUUCUGUCUGAAAUCGUCAGACACUUUCUGAUUCUUUGGCCUCAGUCUCCUUAAAGCUGGGAUUCAAAUAUAUACCACUCACUUAGGAGGCAGAGGCCAGCCUGGUCACACAGCAAGUUCCAUGCCAGCCAGCGUCACACAGUGAGACCUUGUGUCAUAAAAACAAAAAUAAAUAAAACAAAAAACC